rnacentral:sRNA from 1 species
GCGGAAGGAUCAUUAUCGAAAGCUGUGGCUUUUGUUGUGCCUUGAACCCUUUGAUGUCUUAGCCCUUGUUGCUUCCGUCGGCUGGCUAUCCUACACCGGGAAGUCGACUGGCGGAGGGUGUUUGGGAACUCGGCUGUUUAGAUGUUGUUAGUCUGAAAGAUUUGAGAUCAAAUGCUCAAAAAACAAAACUUUCAACAACGGAUCUCUUGGCUCCUGCAUCGAUGAAGAACGCAGCGAAAUGCGAUAAGUAAUGUGAAUWGCAGAAUUCAGUGAAUCAUCGAGUCUUUGAACGCACAUUGCGCCCUAUGGUUAUUCCGUAGGGCAUGCCCGUCUCAGCGUCAGAAAAAACUCUCAGGCAUGGCAUUUAUGCCACGCCUGGAUAUUGUCAGAGAGGCAGAUGACCUGCGGUCAUUCUGCCCUUUGUAAAAUAAUGGAUAUUUUGAAGAUGUGUUUCAUUCCAACGUGAUAGAAUAUUUCAUUCGUUGGUGUYGUCAACCUUCAGAUCGUUCCAAAGAAACCCACAGAAUUCUUAGAUAUKUGACCUGAGAUCGGGUAGGGAUACCCGCUGAACUUAAGCAUAUCAAUAAGCGGAGGAA